UCCGGUUUGAAACCGGCAGUCCCGUUAGACAUGGUAACUAACGGCGAGGGUUGCGCUCGUUGCGGGACUUAACCCAACACCUCACGGCACGAGCUGACGACAGCCAUGCAGCACCUGUGAUCGUUCCCGACUUUACGGGUCGUCACCCUUUCGGGAUCCUACUGCGACAAUGUCAAGCCCAGGUAAGGUUCUUCGCGUUGCGUCGAAUUAAACCACAUGCUCCGCUGCUUGUGCGGGUCCCCGUCAAUUCCUUUGAGUUUUAGCCUUGCGGCCGUACUCCCCAGGCGGGAGGCUUAAUGCGUUAGCUUCGGCACGGAAGGAAUCGACACCUCCCACACCUAGCCUCCAUCGUUUACGGCGUGGACUAC
rnacentral:misc_RNA from 1 species